GAGUAAGGUAAGAAUCAAUGUUCUUACUCAUCUCAACUACCAAUUGCAACAAGGUGUGAGGAUCAGGAAUGUGGUUUUCUUGUUUCUCAAACACCAGUGUCCACUGCACCACACUGCCAUUUCCCUUUGGAGUAACUUGUAAAUUAAGUUUGAAGCUCUUUUUUCUUUGGAGUAACUUGCAAAUUAAAUUUAAAGCUCUUGUAAAGUCCCAACAGGUCUUCCUCUAAAACUUUGAAUUACAAUUUUCCCUAUCUAUGUCGUCAACCACCUCCCUUGCCACAACUUUGUUAUAAACUUAUUUCUCUCUAAUUUAUCAAAAACUUGGCAUCAAUAAUCACAAUGUCUCAAAUUAUUCAUGUAAAUAUUAUUAUAAAACUGAUUUUCUUUUAAUCCUUGAAAAUAAAUUGAAUGUGAAUAAAUAAAUAAAAGAAUAUAAUGCAUAAAAAUAAUACUUGAGUGUUACUAAAGACGUCAAAUAAUAUGGUUAAGCAAAUCAGAUUAUGACUAUCAUAAGAGAAAUUGCAAGGAAUGCAAUGUUUUGUUAAUAAACACUACAAGAAAAUCAUUAAAUCAAUUUUAGAAAAAAAAUAAUUAGUUUUUAUAUUGAUUAAAUUAGAUACUAUUUUAGAUACUAAAAAGAAUUAUUAGUAUCUUAAUUAGUUUUUAUUAUUGAUAAAUAAUUCCUAAAUUGAUAUCUAAUUAGUUACCAGGAUUUUAGCUGGGAAGUAUUUAGAUUUUAAAGUUGGUAGCUAAUUAAAUACCGAUUUAAAAACUAUUUAUCAAUAAUGAAAACUAAUUUAAAUAUCAAUAAUAAUUUUUUUUAGCCUCUAAAAUAUUAUCUAAUUUAGUCAAUAUAACAACUAAUUAUUUUUUGUCUCUAAAAUUGAUUUCUAUUUAAUGAUUUUCUAGUAAUGAAUUUAGAAACUAAAGUUUGCAUACCAAGUGUGUAAUUCCAGGAAAUGAUGGAUCCCUCAGUGCCCCAUUCUCCUUUGUGGAUUUGAACAGACUGUAUUUUUUGAGGUAAAAUGUUGGCAAUAUGGUGUGGCCUGUUGCAAAAAACAUCAUAGAACUGUUGGGCAGAAGCCUUGAGAUGGACAUUAGUUUCAAUCUUUUGAAGUUGAGAGCAUGCCAUUUUUGCCUCACUCCUAAGAAGGUAUGAAAAAUAUAUGUGGACAAUACACCUAUAUAUACUUCUCUUCUCUUGAAUUUGUCUUGUUGGAAUAUCCUAACAACAUAUAUUAUUUAUUAAGAGUUUUUGUUCUAUUAUAUGAAAAUAAAAAUAUAUUUAAAAUAUUUAAUAUAAGUUUUUAAUAAAAAAAUAAUUAGUUAUGGAAGGAAUAUAUGUGAUAUGUGAGCCCAUAAAUGAAAGGAAUAUAUGUGCUUUGAAGUUUAUAUGUGCUUUGAAGUUUCAGCUGAACCACCACUAGUGGAGGAGGCAUCUUCUUUCCUUUAGAUUUUAUGGGCUCACAUGGCAGAAAAGGGAUAACCAUGAUUCAAAGUUCAUAAUAAAAAUGGCAAGUGCAUAUUGUAAGUGCUGAUAGAAUUUUAAUUCUCCAUGUUACUAAAACAUUAUUUUAAUCCAUAGUGUAGAAUAUUCUAGUUUCUCCCAAUCUGAUUUUUUUUCUCUCUAGAAAUUUAUACUUAAAUUAAGUGUUAGCAUGUUUGAGAAUACAUUGAAGUUAGUUCUCUUCACACAAAUAAUUGAAGGUUAGCUUAAUUUAAUAUUUUGUAUAAGUAAUGUGAUUAUUUUACUCUAAUCACAAGUUUAGUCAAGACACCACCCUUGGUAAAAAAAAACUGUGGUUAGUGGUAGAUAAAAAAAAGGAAAAUUUCCUUAUGACACCACUAUUUAAAAAUACAUCUAUUCCACAACUAUUUUUUAUAUUAAAAUAAUAACUUUAUAUGGAUAUCAAAUGAAUGAAAUAAUAAUUUUAUACGGAUAUCAAAUGAAUGAAAAAAAAAUUAAUGAUAAAUGAUUUAAUGUAGCUAAUAAACUCCAAGCAUAAAAGUUUUAAAAUCUAUACUUAUUGUAGUAAUAUCAAACUCAUGAAUUCACUUAAUUUUAAUCGAAUCAAAUUUUUUUUCGCUCUAACAUAAGUUUUUAUUAAAAUAAAAUAAUGUUCAUUAAUUAUAUAUAUAUAUAUAUUCGAUAUUUUACUCCUAUAUUUAGUAGAAAUGUUAAGUAACUCAUAAGGGAAUAGUUAUUGUUUUAAGUGAAAGGUUAGGACCGGUUAAAGCACAUUAUUAAACCAAAAAGAAAGUAAACCAAAAAGAAAGUAAAGAGAAUUACAAGAAAUAUAAAAGGAUUGCCAAAACUUAUGAAAGAAAAAAAAAUUGUCUCACAAAAUGAAAAAAAAAGGAGAGAUUUGUCUUAUUUUGAAUAAAGUCAUAAGCUAUGAGUUUUUUUGGGAUGAUUGUUUUCACUUAGGUUAAAAAGUAUAAUGAGAUUGAUUUACUGUGAUAAUGAGUGAGACUCGUAAGAGUGUAGGUUAAAUAGUCUCUCAUUCUUUUGUAUCUCAUUCUUUGUAUAUAGUUUGGAACAUUUCUUAAAUAUUUCACUUUAAUUUUAAUUUAUCUUUUAUAUUAAAUAAUACAUUUCUUAUUGAAAGUCUAAAGAAAAGUCACAUUCAAUCUAUAAAAAAUGUCAUUCCAUUUUUACGAUGUACUCCAAAGCAAAUAUGAUGGAAAAUAUUACAACAACAAGAACUAACUUUGUAUUUGUAGAAUGUGGUUAGGUCAUAAUACUAGUCACUUUGCAUGUAUUAUGAGCAAUCUCUAUGAUUCUAUUUAUGUUUAAUCUUAAACAUUGUUACAUAUUUAAGUUAGUGCCAACAAUCCUAUACUUAUAUUAGUUGACUAGGUGAUUAGGUUCAAAAAAGAAAAUAAGAAGAAAAUACUCUAAGAGCAAACACAUUUCAUGAUUUAAUGGGGAUGACACAUAUUUGGAUCUUUUUAGCAAGACAAUUGGAUGAAACAAAUAUGUCUAUUUUGGAAUAACUCAAUUUGGAUUAUAUGUGAAUAGAAACUAAUUUUAGAAAAAAAAAUAAUUAGUUACUAUAUUUACUAAAUUAAAUAUUAAAAUAAUUAUUUUAGUCUCUAAAAUAGUAUCUAAAAAAAAUUAAUUAUUUUUUGUUUUUAAAAUUAAUUUCUAUUUUUUUGCCUCAAUCUUAAUUUUUAAAUAUUGUAUUCAUUAUUUCUUAUGGAAUUUGUGCUCGAAAAUGACACUGAACCACUCUUUGAUUUCUUAUCCAGAUUCUAGUAAUAAUUGGUUUUUAAAUUGAUAUUUAAUUAUUAGUUAUCAAAAUUUUAGCUUACUCACAACUUUAUAUUCUAACUUUAUAUCUAUUAGUCUUUUAGAGAUUAAUUUAGAAUUUAAAGUAUUAGUAACUAAAAUCUUGAUAGCUAAUUUAGAUAAUAAUUUAAAAAUUAUUUUAUAAAUUUUUAUUAAUAAUAGAAAUCACUUUAGUUACAAAUAAUUUUUUAAUCUCUAAAAUAGUAUCUAAUUUAGUUAAUAUAGUUAAUAUAGUGAUUAAUUAUUUUUUGUCUCUAAUUUUAGUUAUUAUUUGAUAAAUUUUUUAGUGUAAAAUAUAUAGUUUUUGAAAAUUUAUGGUAGAUAUGAUUUAUUAAAAUAAGUAAAAUAUAUUUGUUCAUUACUAUUUAUAAUUGAAAGUAAUUUAUAUUUUAUUGUUGGGAAAGUUCACAAAUUUGUAAGAAGCUGAACUUGAAAAGCUAUUUUCGGAAAACAUUUUUAAGGAAUAUUAUUUUUUUAAAGCAUCAAUCAAAAACCUUGAAACAAACAAUUCUUAACUUCUUAUUUAUGAGAAACUACUUUUUCUUUAUAUUAAAUAUUUCUAAUAUUUCUUAUGCCUCAUUUAAUCAAAUUAUUAUUGUCGAUAAAAAUAAAUCACCCCAAAUAUUUUUAUGUUAAAAUAAAAAUAUUAUUUUUAUAUCUUAAUUGAGGGACUUUCGCCUUUUUUGUGAAUACAAGUUGUUAAAGCGAAUGUGUGUUGCUCAAAUGACACAUCUCUAAUUUGAAUUAUAUGCUAUUAUAUAUAUAUAUAUAUAUAUAUAAUCAUUGAAUUAAUGUGUAUGAAAUGAAUGGAUACAUUGAGAUAUAUGAAGAUUGAAUUGAGGGAAUAAAAAAUUAAUAUUUGGGAUGGUAACAUAGUCAAGUUAUUUUCGUUGUUUUAAGUGUAAGAGUCCGUAAGAGAAUAAGAUAUUGUAAUUUUACUAAAUAGUUUAAAUCACAUAUAUUAAGGUAUCCCACAAAAUGAGAAACAAAAGAAGGUUAUUACGUCAAGUUUUCAUAUCGUAAGCACAAAAAAUCACCUCAACAUAAGAAUUGAGGUUGAAUUACCAAAAUUACUUAAUAUGAAUAUUCUAGAAAGGGUCAAGUUUGUAGCAAAAUUAUCUUGAUGCUAUAAGAGAUACAAUGUGUGUGUGUGUUGACUUUUAAAAUAAAUAAAAAAAACAUUAGCAAGGACCAAACCCAUGUUAAAUUAAAUAAAUUUUAAAAUAUAAAACAUUAGUCUAGGUCAAGCGAACGCUAAAUGAAAUAAAUUUGUAAAUAAAAAACAUUAGUAUGGACUAAACGAACACUAAAUUAAAUAAAGUUUAAAAUAAAAAAACACUGACAUGGAUCAAGCGGACGUUAAAUUAAAUAAUUUUUAAAAUAAAAAUAUUAGUGUGGGUCAAGUUGACGCUAAAUUAAAUAACUUUUAAAAUAAAAAACAUUAGUGUCAAUCAACUAAACUGAUGCUAUACUACUUUAAUUAAAAAACUAAUUUAAAAAUGAGUGACAAAUCGAUCUUAAAAAAUCAACACUAAAGAACUUCAAAUGUGAUAUGUGCAUUAUCUACAUUGACUUUGGUAAAUUACUACCAAAAAAAUGCUUUUUUUUAUUGAUUUUUGGUGAAACGUAGGACAUAUAACAUUAUUUUUAAAAAUUAACCGAUAUAUUUUGGAAACUUUUUACGUUGUUGAUAAUCAAUAUAGAAACUUCCCUAUUUUAUAUAUAUAUAUAUAUCAAGUAACCGAUGUAAAAAUUGGUUUUUCUAGUAGUUAUUUUAAUAACUAAUAAUAUUUUAUGAUCAAAUUUAGUAAUAAUUAAUUUUGUGACCAAUUUUAAUGAUAAAAGAAAUAAAAAACUUAUUUAAAAAAAUAAUUAAAAUAAAUAAGUAUAAUAUAAAAUAUUGAGUUUAUAAUUAAAAUAAAUAAUGAUAAUAUAACGAUGUAAGGCCAUAAGUGUCAAGUAAAGACUUUUCAACCUAAUUUGAAUUAGUAGUCAUUUUAAUUAGUAAUUGAUAACUAAAUAUUUGUUAAUUUACCACUAACUAGGUUAAUAAAUAUAAGCUUAGUAACAUUUAAAAUUUUACACAAAAGUAAAGAAGAUCGUUGUAAAAUGGAUGAUUGUUGAAGUUUGAAACGAUAGCCUAGCCGAAACGUCAGACUUCAUAGUAAUAUAUAACAUAAAUUUUUAAAGAAAUAAAAAAGAUUUCAAAAUGACAAAACACCAAACACAAAUUAUACAUAACAUAAAUUUUCCUAGCUCACUCCUAUUGGUUCCUGAUGCACUUUAUUAUAAGUACUUUAUACGUAAUAUUGAUGGAAUUAAUUAAGGGAUACAUCAAAUGUUAUUUCUUAGACAUCAACAACAUAAGAUAUGAGCUUUAUUUAUAUUUGACAACUAAUGAUCUAGUUGUUCUCUUGAGUAAGGUAAGAAUCAAUGUUCUUACUCAUCUCAACUACCAAUUGCAACAAGGUGUGAGGAUCAGGAAUGUGGUUUUCUUGUUUCUCAAACACCAGUGUCCACUGCACCACACUGCCAUUUCCCUUUGGAGUAACUUGAAAAUCAGUUUUGAAGCUCUUGUAAAGUCCCAGCAAGUCUCCCUCUAAAACCUUGAAGCUCAGUUUACAGUUUUCCUUAUUUAUGCCUUCAACCACCUCCUUUGCCACAUAUUUUUUUUCAUCUGUUGUUAUCCAAACUAAAAUUUUAGAUUCUUUAUAAACUUAUUUCCCUCUAAUUUCUCAAAAAUUUGGCACCAUUAAUCACAAUGUCUCAAAUUAUUCAUGUAAAUAUUAUUAUAAAGCUAGUGUUCUUUUAAUCCUUGAAAAUAAAUCAAAUGUGAAUAAAUAAAUAAAAGAAUAUAUAAUGCAUAAAAAUAAUAUUUGAUUGAUAAUAAAGACCUUAAAUAAUAUAGUUAAGCAACUCCGAUUAUGAUGCUCAUAAGAGAAAUAGCAAGGAAUGUAAUGUUUUUUUAAUAAACACUACAAGAAAAUUAUUAAAUCAAUUUUGAAGAAAAAAUAAUUAGUUUUUAUAUUGAUUAAAUUAGAUACUAUAUUAAAGACUAAAAAGAAGUAUUGGUAUCUAAAUUAAUUUUUAUUAUUGAUAAAUAAUUCCUAAAUUGGUAUCUAAUUAGCUAUCAAGAUUUUAGUUACCCACUAUUUAGAUUUUAAAGUUGGUAACUAAUUAAAUAUCAAUUUAAAAACUAAAAUGAUAUCUAAUUUAGUUAAUAUGAUAACUAAUUAUUUUUUAUUUUUAAAAUUAAUUUUUAUUUAAUGAUUUUCUAGUAAUAAAAGUUGAGCAAUGGAAGUUUGCAUACCAAGUGUGUAAUUCUAGGAAAUGAUGGAUCCCUCAGUGCCCCAUUCUCCUUUGUGGAUUUGAACAGACUGUAUUUUUUAGGUAAAAUGUUGGCUAUAUGGUGUGGCCUGUUGCAAAAAACAUCAUAGAACUGUUGAGCAGAAGCCUUGAGAUGGACCUUAGUUUCAAUCUUUUAAAG
rnacentral:lncRNA from 1 species